UCCAAUCACCAGGUGUGCCCCGGGCGGCG
rnacentral:sRNA from 1 species